UUUAGGCUCUUUCCAUGAUUCGGUUAUUGUUUAAAGAGCUGCUAUGAACAUUGGGGUGCUCUUGUGGAUGGUAAAUGGCAGAAUUUGAACAUGAACCUGGAUCCCUUUCAAUUCACAGCUUCUGGGCUUUGGACCAGACAAGAUUGCUUUUCAUUAAUUAUGGUCCAGUAUCACUUAAGCACACCUCCCUGUGCAGUCCAGCCAUGCGGAUACAGAUGGCCAAGCCACCCGAGGAAACGGGAAAAGCCCGCUGGUGCUGGGCUCCGGCACGCUGAAAGUUCAACUUCCAAGCUCAAAUUAGUGGGGAAAUUAAAUAAUAAAAUGCUCUGUGCUAUUUUAGCUGAAACUGCUCUUAUUUAUAGUUAACUGAAACCAACCUAACUCAGACUCACGUCUAAGGUUUACUCAUGAGUCACACUCAGAUGUGAAAGCUAAAGUUGCAGAUCCACACACUCAGUCUCUGAUGCUCACUUUCCUGCUCGCGAGGUUUUCUGUGGUCUGCGCAAGGAGCGUUCACAUCGAAAUAAGGCUAACACACCGUCCACUCAGUCUGCUGCACGUGGAGUGUGCCCCGGGACCUUGGCAUUUUCUCAGGCGGCAGCCUGUCCGCGGGUGGCCGCUCUGUUAGAUGCGCGGAGGGCGAGGAGCCCGAUUCUCUCUGUGAUUCUCUCCCCAGGCGGCUGGGGGGCUGGGCCUACAGGAGGUGGUCAGAAACGUGAGUCGCCUCAAUCGCUCAGCGUCGACGCCAGGAGCCAAACCCAGGGCAUCCGUGCCCGGGGCUGUCAGAGCCACACCUGCAGGCCUCCUCAAGCGACAGUCGGAGUAUUUCCCAACAGAAGAUGGCCCGUUGCUGCAUGGUUUCCAGACACAGAUGGCUUCUCUCCCAGCUCCUCUCCACCUGCGCAGCUAUGCUCUGUAGCCUUGACGCGGGAUCCCAGAGCCACUGGCAUCUGGCCCGAGGACACACCAUUUCCCAGCUCAGAGCCAGUAUACGUGAUAAGAUGCUUCACGGUCCGCGGUCUGCCUUCCGAUUCCAGCCGGAUCCCCAGAGGACGAGGAAAACAGAUCAAAACAGCCGACGGGCGAGUGGAGGCAGGAGACCCACAGGACUGAUGCGUUUCAUCAGAUGACGGCAGCCAGCACGUGCCCAGGGACAGAAACGAACAUUAUUCCGUGGUUCUGAGCCACCGUUGUU